rnacentral:rRNA from 1 species
GACGAACGCUGGCGGCGUGCUUAACACAUGCAAGUCGAACGGAAAGGCCCUUCGGGGUACUCGAGUGGCGAACGGGUGAGUAACACGUGGGUGAUCUGCCCUGCACUUUGGGAUAAGCCUGGGAAACUGGGUCUAUACCGAAUAGGACCGCGCGCUUCAUGGUGUGUGGUGGAAAGCUUUUGCGGUGUGGGAUGGGCCCGCGGCCUAUCAGCUUGUUGGUGGGGUAAUGGCCUACCAAGGCGACGACGGGUAGCCGGCCUGAGAGGGUGACCGGCCACACUGGGACUGAGAUACGGCCCAGACUCCUACGGGAGGCAGCAGUGGGGAAUAUUGCACAAUGGGCGCAAGCCUGAUGCAGCGACGCCGCGUGAGGGAUGACGGCCUUCGGGUUGUAAACCUCUUUCACCAGGGACGAAGCGCAAGUGACGGUACCUGGAGAAGAAGCACCGGCCAACUACGUG